CAGAGGGACAGGAAGCUUUGAAAGAGCUGCUCAGCAGUAAGACCUGUGAGCUGGAACAAGAAAACCUGAAACUUAAGAGCCAGCUGAAGACUACGGGCUGAGCUGGACCAGACCAACAGUUCCUUGAGAACACUGGAGACAGCUGGUGGUCAUGGAGAAACACCGUCAGGCAUUACUGGUUAAGAGACAGACACAAGAGCUGCUGUCAGAGAGGGAGAGCAGGAGAAGACUGGAGUCUGAAGUGGAGGCUCUGUGCUCACAAGAGCGAGAGCUCAAAGGCAAAGCAGAGAGACUGGAAGCAGCUUUAUACAAGGUGUCUGAUGGUCUUCUUGUUAAACAAAUGCUUAUUACAAUACAACAGAACCGAACAAAUAAUGGAACUGAUGUUCUAUUUGACCAACAUUGUAAACCAUAACAUUAUGUUAUAUAAUGUACAUUAUAUGUCUGACAGUUUUGCUGAAUGCCAAGAUUUUAUUCAGAAAUAGGAACAGGAGUUUAUGAGGCUGAAACUGCAGCAUGCAUUAGAUCUAAAGGAAUUGCAAAGCCAGAACUGGCGUAACGUUUCCAGAUCUCCAGUCAGCAGCUGUAUCCUACAGACUCAUCUUCCCCUCGCUCAGCAUAACGUUAAUGGCCUAAUGGAGAUGAGAGUCUCUGACCCCCUUGUGGAGUUGAAGAGGUUUUUAAGAGAGCUGCGUGGUGGGAUUGCUGAAGAGCAAGGACCACACACUACCUUAAGCUUCAGGAGGAGACCCGAGGAAGACCACAAAUCUAGACAGUGA
rnacentral:lncRNA from 12 species